CAAUACGGCAGCGGCAGACGGGAUAGUAACACGUGGGAACGCGCCCUUCGGUUCGGAAUAACUCAGGGAAACUUGAGCUAAUACCGGAUACGCCCUUACGGGGAAAGAUUUAUUGCCGAAGGAACGGCCCGCGUCCGAUUAGCUAGUUGGUGAGGUAAUGGCUCACCAAGGCGACGAUCGGUAGCUGGUCUGAGAGGAUGACCAGCAUCACUGGGACUGAGACACGGCCCAG
rnacentral:rRNA from 1 species